rnacentral:tRNA from 1 species
GGGCGAUUAGCGCAGUGGUAGCGCGCUUCCCUGACACGGAAGAGGUCACUGGUUCGAACCCAGUAUCGCCCACCA